rnacentral:rRNA from 1 species
AGGUGUACUGUGAGGUAUGCUGGAGGUAUCAGAAGUGCGAAUGCUGACAUAAGUAACGAUAAAGCGGGUGAAAAGCCCGCUCGCCGGAAGACCAAGGGUUCCUGUCCAACGUUAAUCGGGGCAGGGUGAGUCGACCCCUAAGGCGAGGCCGAAAGGCGUAGUCGAUGGGAAACAGGUUAAUAUUCCUGUACUUGGUGUUACUGCGAAGGGGGGACGGAGAAGGCUAUGUUGGCCGGGCGACGGUUGUCCCGGUUUAAGCGUGUAGGCUGGUUUUCCAGGCAAAUCCGGAAAAUCAAGGCUGAGGCGUGAUGACGAGGCACUACGGUGCUGAAGCAACAAAUGCCCUGCUUCCAGGAAAAGCCUCUAAGCAUCAGGUAACAUCAAAUCGUACCCCAAACCGACACAGGUGGUCAGGUAGAGAAUACCAAGGCGCUUGAGAGAACUCGGGUGAAGGAACUAGGCAAAAUGGUGCCGUAACUUCGGGAGAAGGCACGCUGAUAUGUAGGUGAAGCGACUUGCUCGUGGAGCUGAAAUCAGUCGAAGAUACCAGCUGGCUGCAACUGUUUAUUAAAAACACAGCACUGUGCAAACACGAAAGUGGACGUAUACGGUGUGACGCCUGCCCGGUGCCGGAAGGUUAAUUGAUGGGGUUAGCGGUAACGCGAAGCUCUUGAUCGAAGCCCCGGUAAACGGCGGCCGUAACUAUAACGGUCCUAAGGUAGCGAAAUUCCUUGUCGGGUAAGUUCCGACCUGCACGAAUGGCGUAAUGAUGGCCAGGCUGUCUCCACCCGAGACUCAGUGAAAUUGAACUCGCUGUGAAGAUGCAGUGUACCCGCGGCAAGACGGAAAGACCCCGUGAACCUUUACUAUAGCUUGACACUGAACAUUGAGCCUUGAUGUGUAGGAUAGGUGGGAGGCUUUGAAGUGUGGACGCCAGUCUGCAUGGAGCCGACCUUGAAAUACCACCCUUUAAUGUUUGAUGUUCUAACGUUGGCCCCUGAUCGGGGUUGCGGACAGUGUCUGGUGGGUAGUUUGACUGGGGCGGUCUCCUCCUAAAGAGUAACGGAGGAGCACGAAGGUUGGCUAAUCCUGGUCGGACAUCAGGAGGUUAGUGCAAUGGCAUAAGCCAGCUUGACUGCGAGCGUGACGGCGCGAGCAGGUGCGAAAGCAGGUCAUAGUGAUCCGGUGGUUCUGAAUGGAAGGGCCAUCGCUCAACGGAUAAAAGGUACUCCGGGGAUAACAGGCUGAUACCGCCCAAGAGUUCAUAUCGACGGCGGUGUUUGGCACCUCGAUGUCGGCUCAUCACAUCCUGGGGCUGAAGUAGGUCCCAAGGGUAUGGCUGUUCGCCAUUUAAAGUGGUACGCGAGCUGGGUUUAGAACGUCGUGAGACAGUUCGGUCCCUAUCUGCCGUGGGCGCUGGAGAACUGAGGGGGGCUGCUCCUAGUACGAGAGGACCGGAGUGGACGCAUCACUGGUGUUCGGGUUGUCAUGCCAAUGGCACUGCCCGGUAGCUAAAUGCGGAAGAGAUAAGUGCUGAAAGCAUCUAAGCACGAAACUUGCCCCGAGAUGAGUUCU